rnacentral:rRNA from 1 species
AUCAACUUUCGAUGGUAGGAUAGAGGCCUACCAUGGUGGUAACGGGUAACGGGGUGUUAGGGCACGACACCGGAGAGGGAGCCUGAGAAACGGCUACCACAUCCAAGGAUGGCAGCAGGCGCGCAAAUUACCCAAUCCCGACACGGGGAGGUAGUGACAAUAAAUAACAAUACGGGGCUCUUUAGGGUCUCGUAAUUGGAAUGAGUACAAUUUAAAUCCCUUAACGAGGAACAAUUGGAGGGCAAGUCUGGUGCCAGCAGCCGCGGUAAUUCCAGCUCCAAUAGCGUAUAUUAAAGUUGUUGCAGUUAAAAAGCUCGUAGUUGAAUUUCGGGAUUUGCACAUCGGUCGUGCCUUAAGGGGUAUGAACUGGUGUAGUGAAUUUCUCACCUUCUGGAGAACCGCGAUGUCCUUAAUUGGGUGUCGCGGGGAAUCAGGACUGUUACUUUGAAAAAAUUAGAGUGUUUAAAGCAGGCUUACGCUUGAAUACAUUAGCAUGGAAUAAUGAAAUAGGACGGACUGAUUCUAUUUCGUUGGUUUCUAGGAUCACCGUAAUGAUUAAUAGGGAUAGUUGGGGGCAUUAGUAUUCAAUUGUCAGAGGUGAAAUUCUUGGAUUUAUUGAAGACUAACUACUGCGAAAGCAUUUGCCAAGGAUGUUUUCAUUAAUCAAGAACGAAAGUUAGGGGAUCGAAGACGAUCAGAUACCGUCGUAGUCUUAACCAUAAACUAUGCCGACUAGGGAUCGGACGAAGUUAAUUUUAUAAUGACGCGUUCGGCACCUUACGGGAAACCAAAGUGUUUGGGUUC